rnacentral:rRNA from 1 species
CACCGCCCGUCACACCAUGGGAGUCGAUUGCUCCAGAAGUGGCUGAGCCAACCCGCAAGGGAGGCAGGUCCCCAAGGAGUGAUCGGUAACUGGGGUG